AUUGAACGCUGGCGGCAUGCCUUACACAUGCAAGUCGAACGGCAGCACGGGUGCUUGCACCUGGUGGCGAGUGGCGAACGGGUGAGUAAUACAUCGGAACAUGUCCUGUAGUGGGGGAUGGCCCGGCGAAAGCCGGAUUAAUACCGCAUACGAUCUACGGAUGAAAGCGGGGGACCUUCGGGCCUCGCGCUAUAGGGUUGGCCGAUGGCUGAUUAGCUAGUUGGUGGGGUAAAGGCCUACCAAGGCGACGAUCAGUAGAUGGUCUGAGAGGACGACCAGCCACACUGGGACUGAGACACGGCCCAGACUCCUACGGGAGGCAGCAGUGGGGAAUUUUGGACAAUGGGCGAAAGCCUGAUCCAGCAAUGCCGCGUGUGUGAAGAAGGCCUUCGGGUUGUAAAGCACUUUUGUCCGGAAAGAAAUCCUUGGCUCUAAUACAGUCGGGGGAUGACGGUACCGGAAGAAUAAGCACCGGCUAACUACGUG
rnacentral:rRNA from 1 species